rnacentral:misc_RNA from 1 species
GUAGGUGAACCUGCGGAGGGAUCAUUAAUUUCCUGUCUCUCGAGGCAGACGUGGUGGCUGUAGCUCGCUAUGGCCACUGCUCUUAACCCAUGUCUUUUGCGUACUACUUGUUUCCUCGGUGGGCUUGCCCACCGGUUGGACUAAUUACAACCCUUUGCAAUUGCAAUCAGCGUCUGAACAACCUAAUAAUUACAACUUUCAACAACGGAUCUCUUGGUUCUG